AUCUCCUGACCUUGUGAUCCGCCCACCUCGGCCUCCCAAAGUACUGGGAUUACAGGCAUGAGCCACCGUGCCCAGCCUCAAGUAGGUUUUUAAUGAAUUUCUUAUACUUUUAAAAUACAACAUUAUGGCAAUAAAAGACUAUUCCACUUCUUUUCUAAUCUGGAGAAUUGUGUUGAUUUUUCUAGUACAAUUUUCUGGCUCGUAUCUCCAGUACAAUGGUGAAUAGUGGUGAAAGUAGAAAUUCUCAUCCUGUUUUCAAACUUGCAUGUAAAGCCCCCAGUCAUUCACCAUUAAGUAUAUUAGCUUUUGGUGUGGGGUUUUCCAUCUUGGCUCACUGCAGCCUCAACCUCUUAAGCUCAAGUGAUCUUCCCACCUUAACUGCCUGAGUAGUUGGGACAACAGGCAUGCACCACCAUGCCCAGAUAAUUUUUUUUUUUAAUAUUUUGUAAAUAUGGGGUCUCCCUAUAUUGUCCAGAAUGGUCUUGAACUCCUGAGUUUAUGCAGUCUUUCCACCUCAGCCUCCCAAAGUUCUGGGUUACAGGUGUGAGCCACUGCACCUGGCCAAUUUUGGGUUUUCAUAGAGGCCUUUUAGCAGGUCUCAAAAGUUUUCUUCUAAUAGUUUUCUUGAUGUUCUAUCAUUCACAGGUGUUGAAUUUAUCAAGCUUUUCUAUUUAAAUUAUUACAUUUUUACUUUGUUCAAGUAAUGUUGUAUCAUAUUAAACCAACAUUGCAUUGUGAAAAUACCCUGCUUAGUCAUGGUAUGUAAUCACUCUUAUACCUUUUUAUAUUCAUUUUUUAAAUAUUUCUUGGAAUGUCUGUGUCUAUAUUUAAAUAGGAUGUUGUUUCAUAGUCAUCUUGUGAUUCUUUUGUCUCAUUUGGGUAUUAUGGUAUUACUGGCUAAUAGAUGAAUUAAGAAGUGUUACCUCUUCUACUGCUUGAAGUUUUUGUGAGAAAUUGAUGUUUUUCAUUAAAUGUUGAUGAAAUGUACAACUUAAGCAGUUUAUAACAACUAUUCUAUCUAAAAAGAUUUUAAUUAAUUUUUUGUUACAUGGAUAUAAGUAUAUUCUUUUGUGUAUAUAUAUAUGUAUAAAAUGAAACAAUUCAUAGGAUGUUUUUUCAGUUUGCUUUUGUAAUCCAUCCCUAUCAAUAUUUUUUAUUUAAUAGUAUGUCAUGAACAAUUACUCUAGGCACUUGACAUGGAAUAAUUUGAAAAAAUAGAGAAUGAGUCCUGUACUACAAUCAACAAAUAACUCAAAAUUUUCUCCAUUUUUAGGAUGAAGAAUAUGAAUAUAGUUCUGUUACAUAAUAUUUGUGUUUACUGUGUGAGACAAAUGAGUUACUGAAUGUAAAAAUAAUUAGUGAAACUGCCCUCUGAUUUUUGGAAUGUAUGAAACAGGCAAAUGCCCUACCUUCUAUUUUUAUCAAUAUUUAGAUAAGACAGAAAAAUAAAUUUUAAUAAGAUAUACAGAAUAAUCUUGUAUUUGAAGAAUGCUAUGAAAAAGAUAAUUUGGAGUAGUAGUUAGUGUAUGGCUCAUAUAAUAUGUUAGGUACUAUUCUAAGCCAUUAAACAUUUGUAUGCUUAAUACCUAAGAGUUUAAAGUGAAGAAAUCAAAGAUUCAUUGAAAAAAAAAAUUGAAUUUUAAAGAAAUUGUAUUUUUAAUUGAAAAAUAGUAGUAUAUAUCUAUCUACAGUGUAAUAUUUUGAUAUAUGUUUAUGUUGUAAAAUGAUUAAAUCAAGUUAAUGUUUAUAGCUUCAUAUAAUUUUUGUGGUGAAAACAUUGAAAAUAGUCUUUAUAGCAGUUUUGAAAUACACAUUAUUUAUUAUAGUCACCAUUCUGUGCAAUUGAUCACUAAAUCUUAUUUCUCCUAAUUGAAACUUGGUACACGUCGAAGAACAUUUCCCCUCUUUUUAUUCACUCCAUCUCCUAGCCUCUGUCACAUUUUCAUUCAUAUUAGGUAACAUUAAGGUCAUUAUAGAAAUUAACUUUUUGGUGUCCCACAACUAAAUGAACAUAAAUAAUGUUAACUUUGUUAGUAAGUUAUACUAAUUAGGCAUAGGAAUAAAUGGCAGCUGUUUUUGCCAGUAAACAAAGGAUGCCCAUUAUUUUCAAAUAUUAGAUAUGAGUAUUUUAGGUGGUAAAGUUUUAGGCCUAAAAUAUGUCAUUGAAUUUAUUAUCCCAGAAACCCAGCAGGUCAUAUUUUCUGAACAUUGUAAAUAACAAUAGAAAUUAUUGACUAAAAUGUUACCAGCAAGUACUAUCUCACCACAUGAAAAUUGCAUUGAAAUAUUUAAAUUUGUAGUUCAAAUGGAAGACUCAGAUUCUUUUCAUGGAUUCAGGGAAGUGCUCAUGAGGAAGCAUGGUGAUUAAGCCAAAAAUCUGAAUUCAGGUAAAUAAUUCUGCCAAUAUGUUCUCAAUGGUGUAGAAAAUCAGUAGUUUUGGCCAUAUAUAGGUACUAUUCUCUGACGUAGAGUACAUUUAUUUCAGAAAUUUGUGCUAAAUGUAAAAUCAGUUCCCUAGUAUUAAAGUUAAACUCUACAAAUUAUUACUUUACAGUAUGUUGAGGAAAGGAUAUGUUCUAUAUAAAGUAACUUGAGAUUUAUUGUCUAUUACAAAAAAAAAUUGUGUAAAAUAUAUUUCAUGUGUACACUGUUGACAUUUGUGCUUGGAAAAAUACUAUAGAUUCUACACAUUUUAAAUGUAGAAAGCUAAAAUCCUCAGAAAGUUACAAGAAUCUUUAAACGACUGUAUAGCAUUGAAAGUGAAAGUAAAAUAUGAGAAUUUUCCAACUAGAGAAGCAAACGAAAGAAAUCAUUUAGGAAAAUAAUCAACUGAGAAGUAAGCGCUCCUGUUAGAUAUGGGUGGUCAGAGUUGCCAAAUCCAUGUGGGUUGCCCAACUUGCCAUAAAGCAAAUUUAAAAAACAGACACAAACGGCAGAUGUCUGAAAUGUAAUAUCUCCCAUAAGUGAAAAGAAAGUUAAAACUUAUGUUACACACAGUUAUAGGACUUAUUUUUUAAAUGUUUAAGUCAACACAAUGAGAAAAACAGGAAAUAUAUAUAUAUAUAUAUAUUACAGAGCAAAAGACUACAAGCUUGACAAGCCAUAUUUGAAAAAGCCAAAUACAAACAACCUACUUAACAUACAACGUAUGAGUUAAAUAUUAAAUUAGUCUCAGCUGAUGAGAUUAGUGAACCGAAAUACUGAGCAUGAUUAAUGUAGUUAAAUACAGUAAAAAGAGAAAACAGCCCCCGACCUCAGCAGAAGGUCUAAGGCCUGGCCCCCGCCCCCCAUCCCUGCCCGGAGCCCUAGCCUCUGAGGCAGUCUCCAAGCCUUUGGGAGUAGCUUCUGAAGAUGAGUUGGUGGUUGAAUUCCUGCAGGACCACCAUGUACCCCUUGUAUCCCAUGCCCCUCAGACAUUCACGAUGGAUGAACUGGCUGAGAUGCAGCAGAUUGAACAGUCAAACUUCCUCCAGCCUCCCCAGAGAGCCCCUGGUAUGGCCGACUUGGCCUUGUCUGAGAACUGGGCCCAGAGUGUCUUGCAGCUGGAGAUGCUGUGGAUGUAAUUCAGGAUUGUAAUGAGACAGACUGGUCCCAUUCAUUCAUUUCUGAAGUUACAGACCCCUUGGCUGUUUUCCCCACCUAUUGGGCAGAGGCAUAUUUGGAGCAAUCAGGGGAGAAGCUGUGGUUGGGAGAGCCUAAGGGAGCAGCAGCUGCUGAUUGUUGGACCAUGAAUGUCAUCCUGAGAAGGAUCUGCAGCACAUGGCCAAUGACUUUGUGGCCAAAGGGGAUGACUCCAAAUUGGCUAACUCUGAGUACAUCAGAUGCCUGGGUUGACCAUUCACAAGACCAGUAAACACAACUGCCCUUGAUAGGGAGUUUGAACGCGCCAAGUCAGCUAUAGAGUUGCAGGCGGAGUUGGAGGAGAUGGCAAAACGAGAUGCUGACGCUCACCCCUGGCUUUCUGACUAUGAUGACCUCACAUCAGCUUCCUUUGAUAAGGGGUACCAGUUGGAGGAGGAGAACCCCCCACGUGAUCACCCUCAGCCUUUCAAAGAAGGGCUGCAGUGACUUCAGGAGCUGUCCCUGCCAAAUGCUAUGCUGCAUUUUGAGGCAGCUAUGCAGCAGAAUCCUAAGAAUAUGGAAGCUUGGCAGUACCUGGGUACCACCCAGGUAGAGAAUGAACAAGAACUGUGAGCCAUCAGAGCAUUGCAGAGGUGUCUGGAGCUAAAGCCAGAUAACUGACAGCACUGAUGGCGCUGGCUGCAAGCUUUACCAACGAGCCCCUGCAGCAGCAGGCCUGUGAAACCCUGCUACACACCAGCCUGUGCCUAUCUGGUGACACCUGCUGAAGAAGGGGCUGGUGGGGCAGGACUGGGCACCAGCAAGCAUAUCUUGGGAUCUCUGUUGUCUGACUCCCUGUUUCUUGAAAUGAAGGAGCUCUUCCUAGCAACUGUGCAACUGGACCCUAUAUCCAUUGACCCCAGUGUGCAGUGUGGCUUGCAGGUCCUUUUCAACCUGAGUGGAGAGCAUGACAAGGCCAUGAACUGCUUCACAGCUACCCUCAGUGUUCGUCCCAAUGACUAUUUGCUGUGGAAUGGAAACCAGAGUGAAGAAGCAGUAACUGCAUACCGCCAGGCCCUUGAGCUCCAGCCUGGCUGUAUCCAGUCCCACUGUAACCUGGGCAUCAGCUGCAUCAAUCUGGGGCUCACUGGCAGGCUGCAGAGCACUUUCUGGAGGCCCUGAACAUGUGGAAGAAAAGCCAGGGCCCUCAGGGUGAAUGAGGUGCCAUGUCAGAGAACACUUGGAGCACCCUGCAUUUCGCCUUCUGUGUUAGGGCCAGAGCGACGCCUGUGGGGUGGCUGAUGCCCGGGAUCUGUCCACCCUCCUAACCGUGUUUAGCCUGCCCCAGUGACAGUGGGAUGGGCUGCCCUGUGAGUGUCUGCCUAGACAGUUCCCCCCUCUGGAUGUGAUGUGAGUCCCUCUCCCCAAAUGCACCUACCAAGCGGGUAGGCUGAUGACCCUAAGUGGUAAGGCCUUUCAGAAGCUGUUCUAGUUCCUACAUAAUCAUAGGAAAACACAGCUUGUUUUCUCUGCGUCCCUUCAUAAUUGAAGGGCUGUACAUCCAGCUACAGAGCUCUCUGCUUAUCAUUCUUGAGGAUGCUUGUUGGGGAGGACCCAAUGAUCUAGGCUAACUGUUGUCAUCAACUGCCAUUUCUGAUAGGGUCUACCGCGUCAUG